GGUUCAAUAGUGUAGUCGGUUUAUCACGUCUGUCUCACAGAACGGUGUCCCAAAAAGUAACCGGAUACACUGUCGUGGUCACAGGAGGUCCCCGGUUCGAGCCCGGGUUGAACCA